CUUCUCACGCGGGAGAUAAACAGAAAGAGCAAGAGUCUAGUUUCAUUAAUAAUUUGGAUCGAUUGCAUUAAAUUUGAUUAAAAACGAUAAGGAUAAGCAGUUCCUUAUUCUGCAAAGGGAAGUUGGAAGGCCUGGAUCUGCCUUUGCGAGAGUUAAAAAAGGCAAAAUCGAAGAAGAACCAACAACGGAACCAGAGCCUUCCUUGGAAUCUCAAUCAGCUACCAGCGUUUUUACUAUUGAUGAAGGAGAUGAGAAACCCUCCACUAGUAGAGCGUUUUCCGAGCGAAGUAAAUAAAAAAUAAUGACUCCUAUACUAGCUGCCACCCUAGACCGUAUUGGACUAAGCGACCGAAAUGCAAUGUAUGUUAUUUCUUCGGUUUUAACAAGUGCUGGACUAAACUUAGACGAUUUUACCGUUAGCAGACAAACAAUCUCAAGGGCCCGUGCAGAAUAUCGCGAAGAGAUUGCUCAAAAU